GCCACUGCACUCCAGCCUGGCAACAGAGCAAGACUCCGUCUCAAACAAAACACAGCACAACAAAACAAAAAAGAACGAGUUUCAUAGUGAGAAACAGCGGAGAAACCAGCUUACCUGGUGGGCCUUGAGUGGCCCCUACAAACUCCAACCUGUUCAAGACUCAUUUGCCACGUUGUACCUUCCAGCCAAGGCAAUCCCCCCAGCCUGAGCUACUUCCCAGACCAGACCACAGAAGCAAGGCCAUGCUCACCGAGGACCCCACUUGUGGACUAGACUUCUGUCCUGCUGUGGCCUCAAAAGCAAUAGCCAGGGCCCCAUGAUGAAGCUGCCAUCAGAAGCACAGGUGUGCCUGGCAAGGACACAGGAGGACCACGGCUCCAUGCCGAUGAGAAUGGCAGCUAAGUCUGAAGCUUUCUAUGAUUUAGAUUCCUGGUUGCGAGAGGGAGCCUAUAGGAAUGGCGAGAAGAGUGAGAACUUUGCAGAGGCAGCAAGCUAGGAUUUUCUCUUUGGGUCACCGCGUGUUCUUUGGGGUCAUAUAAAGUACUCUGCUCAAGAACAAAGGCCAGUGUGGCUAUGAUGAAAAUGCAUUGACAGAGGGGCUUCAAUGUCUAUGGAACAGAAACAAGAGCCCUGGACCAAGAGGAGGAAAUGUGGAUUCACCAACAUGUUGAAAAUCAUUCUAACAUCUCCAGGCCUCAGCGUGGUCAUUCACAAAUGGAAUUCAACAAUUUCUAAGGCAACUUUUCUAACAUUUUGGAGAUAAAAAAUUUAAUGUUUAGUAAGUGCUUAUCCUGUGGCAAGCACCAUGCAAGAUCCUUUAAAUUUUUAAUUCUUUAAAAAAAAUCCUGAGCAGCACAACUGUGCAUUUCUCAUAUCACCAAUGUGUGUAUUAGAAAACGGAGGCCCAGUGAGAUAGAGUCCCAUGGUUGAGAAGUAGAGGGGCAGAAUUCUAGAAUCAACAUUGCCAUCCCCAAGAAACGCUGGCUCCCCUCUGCCUCCGCAGCAUUUCCCACACCUCAUGCCCAGAGGCUUUCACAGUCUGGUUCUUCAGUCUCUAAUCCUUCAUAGUUAGAAGGGAGGGUCGUAACUGCAUUCCUUUGUACUGUCAUCAGCUACUUAAAGUGGCAAGAAACAAUAGCCUCUUUCUCUGGAGAGUCCCAGCUCUGCUUUCCUGGAAGGGUUGCUCUUUGGACCCUGCUGGAUCUCUGAGUGAUGGCCAGGGCAGCCCCCAGGUGCACUGGGAAGUUCAGAGGACUCCUGCCACCUAGCACUUCCCUGCAGAUCUUGAAACGUAAAGUGAUGUGAGUCCCUAUUUCCCCCUUACCAAGGCUCCCUCAACUGCCGGUUAUUUGACAUAUACUCAGUCUAUUACAGGACUCAAGAAAGCAUAUAAUGACUCCAUUCACAAAACACUAAGGACUCAUCUUUUCCUGCCAAACACUCACUUUCCUUAUCACCAUGAUGCUUCCUAUCCUUGUGUCUUGACGAAGAGGUGUCUGCCUGUGCAGGGAUGCCUCAUGCCCAAAAUCUCUUCUCCUUGUACACCUGUUACUGAUGCUGGAACCCUGAAAUAAUCACCAGAUGUUCACUAAGUCCCACUGCAAUCAGCGCUGAGAGGGAUCAUUGAGAACCAUGAUAUCUAAGAGGAAUCAUUGCAAAGUGAUUAAGAUCAUGGGCUUCCAAGUCAGUCACGAUGGGUUUCAACUAUUAAUACAUGUAAUAGUUUAAAGACAGCUCUAAAUUUGUUGCCUCUCCGCUUAUUCCUCUCUCCUUGAUUCUGGGCAGGUCCCUGUAACUAGCUUUGACAAAGAGAACACAGUGGAAGUGAUCCUGCCCACCCCUUUUCCAAGGUAGACCUUAAAAGACCUGUAGCUUCCACUAUUGUGCCUCCUAGAAGCCUGUACCAUGUAAGAAUUCUAACUACCAUGGGAACAUCAUGCUGUGAGGAAGCCCAAGCUAGCCAUUUGGGAGAGAGGAAGGCCACGUAGAGAAGCACCAAGAAACUAGACAUGUUUGUGAAGCCUACUUGAACUUUCCAGCCCAACUCCAGCUGAAUGCAUCCAAGUGAAUGGCCCCAGCUGAUCCCCUGUGGAGCAGAACCACCCUGCUGACUCCUGACUGAAUCCCUGAUCCACAGAAUUUGGCUAUGGGCUCAGAUCCUCUCUUACUUCAAGGGAUCUGGGCUGGAUGCUUGGGCGCGAGAGAGAAGAAUGGCUCUCAACUGGGCGGGGAAGAGUAGCCCGCAAGGAGGCAGCGGCUCCAGGAUGGGAAGUGAGGAUGCCAAAAAAGCAUCCCUAGGAAGGUUCCUGCCUUUCCACGAGGCUAUGGGGCUUUGAAGGCCUUGGAAGCAAAGCCCCCAGGAAUGACUGGAAGACAACACUCUGCAGACCCCUUCCACAGGGUACCCCUGCUCUCCAGGAAGGGCCUUCAGGGCAGCAUUUGGAGGUGGCAUGAGCUAGCAGCGGCGUGCAGCCUGGUCACUGUCUGAUCUGGUCAGCCCAGCCGCACAGAACACCACACAGGCUCUGGCAGCUCCCUGGGAAAGAAGAAAGCAGCAUCUUGCAUGUGUGGCUUAUUCUGAAAGGAAUAGUAUCUGAGGGAUUUGAUGGACUCUGACAGGGGGAAGAAGGUAGUGAAAAAGAUGGAACAAAGAUGCCAUUUAAAAAUACUGGCUCGUGUUCAGGAUUUCGCUAUUUUUUACUGCAAGGAACAAGUAAAAAAAAAAAUCCUCCUAUUGAUGAGUAUUUUUCUACAGUCAUUAAAAGUCAAAGGACUCAGGGCUUCCGACUUUCCCUCUUGGGAAACCUGUAAGCUCGUCUUCUGGACAGCUUAGAAAAGGGCUGGAUGGCGAAGGCGAGAGGCUUAAAGGCCCCCAGCAAGCAGCUCCGCCGAGGAACGGGUGCAGGGGACACACUGUGUUUUCAGUUCAGAUUCUGUGAUCUUUCUGCCAAACAGGGGUUUACAAAGCAAAAACCUCCAGAGAAUUCUCAUACUUUCUGGCUUAUUCUCCUGGUGUUCGUCUUAACAGGAAUCAGCUGUUUGCCUUCUCACUUAUACAGCAUGUUGCUGAGGCGAAUUUAGCAUCUGGCCUGGCUAUUAUUAAAAACAAGAACAUCCUGCUCUGUUGGGAGAACAGCACCACUGGCAAUAAAAGGACAGAGAUCAUUUGCAUUCAGGAUUCCAGAGAUGUGUUUCAGUUCAAUAUCUGCGCUCCCUCCUUCCACCCCUGCUUUCAUUUUAAGAUUUCCUGAUGCAUCCAUCACUUGCAGCGUGGUCAACUUUUUUUCUGAAACAGGCACACACAGGCAGAGCAUAUUUUUUCCUUUCACUGGGAGGCAGGAAUGACUGGAGUUGUUCAAACACCGGUCCGUUCCUGCAAUUCCUAUGAUAAAGUUGAACUACCAGAGGAAUUUUUUUUUUUUUUUUUACAACUGCGGAAAUGAAAAAGUAAACAAGACUGGGACUGCAUUGGUAUUUAGGCUCCAGCUUUUUGUUGUUGUUUUUGUCUUUCCCUUUUUUUAAGCCAUUGGGCUAGGAGCCUGAAGGGACCAUAUAAUAUGAAAAACGCUGAGAGGUUUUAUUAGCCAAUAAAAAAAAAAACUGAGUUCCUAUUAACCACUUAACUCCUUGCUGAAGUUCAAACUUGCUUUCUCCUUGGAUCCUUCUCUCCCUCUCAUGCCCACGAGGAAUGACGGUUGGUUCACCAAUCUUUCCCUGCACAACCUGAGCUCACAGUUUGUGCUCCAGAAGGUGUGGUUGAGAAUCGUAUUCAAUAAUAAUCUCUGUAUUUCUCAUCUGUGAAGCCAUAAAUAAGAUUUCUGUAAGGAGCCAAAUGUUCUACGCCCCCAAAUCUACACACACAAAGACUCUUUAAGCACUCUACUAAAAAAGAGUAAAGUCAUUGUGAUUUCUAGGAUUUUAAAUACUAAAUGAUGGUUAGGGAGAACAAAAUCAGGCUGAAGCAUUUCUGGGAUAAAUAAUGAUCCCACAAAACGCUCCUCUCAUUUGGGGGCAGAAGAAUGAAGGGAAACUCACAGAGAAACAGAAAAUGAAAUUGGUCCAACUAUUUCACUGCUGGAGAUAGAUGGAGUUAGGAUACAUAGGUGACUUGGUUUAGGAAAGAGAGGAUGUCGAAGGUGAUUUAAAUCCUAACACUGUUUUAUUAAUCGUGCCACAAUUCUACAUGUCAUGUGAUUUUGUUAUCUGCUUUUUGCUGCUUUUAAAUAAAUUUGUACUUUUCUAUCAAUCCAUCAUCCAAUUGUGUUUCGGGUGUUCUUGGCAUUCCCAUCUCUCAAAAACACCCUUAGUUUCUGCCAUUAUAUACUGUAUCUCUAAUUCCACGAAGCUCACUCUAUCCUAUUUCCAUUUUCCACAUUCGGGUUAACUCUAGUACUUUUGGUCCUCCCAGAGAAAUUUCCUAAGGCCACAUGAGCCUGUGCGCUUUUGUGUUCUGGUCCCAUUUAAUGUUACUGCUCCAAGAGCUACUCCCUGAAGGGCUUAUGUGGAAGAAUUUUGCCUUUUUGUUAAAAGUAUUUUGCUCUAUGUCCUUGAUUUCUUUAUAAGAAUAGCAGGUGGGGGAAAUUCUUCCCUUUUUAUUGGCUACAGAGUGGGACAGAAUGACCUGGAAAGAAUAGAUAGCAAUCAAGAAGUGAGCUAUGUUUGCAGUGCUAAAACAGGAAGCAAGUUUUGCAGAAAACCCCACUAAGUGGCCUGACAUCAAUGCAACAAGAUAAUAAGAAACGAAUUAAAAGACAUUUUGGUAAAUGUUAAAUGUGUUUCCAGAAAUUUGAUCCCUCUGCUUCCCAAAUGGCUGAGCAUAUCUGAAUAGCAGGGCUGGAUUGAGUCACAAACUUUUGAAUAAUAGCUUUACAAAAAUUACUAAAAACUCCUUAAAUGUUAGCUUCUCCCUGCUCCCUUAAUUGACAUAUCAAGGAGCAUCCAGUGUCCCUUGUCCCAGUAACCUAUUUGAAGACAAGUAAUUGUUUCUUUAUCACUUGUGGGAUAAAGGCAGUACUUUUUUUUUUUUUUGAAGAAUUUGCAGAAAUAAAAAACUGAGGCCAAGAAACACUGUGUCUCCUGAGUACAUGUGCAGGGGUGGUGAGCCCCAUCUUUCUCUGAGUGGGUGGCUGUUCAGGUACCCUUUCCAAACUUCACCCUCCUCCUUCCC
rnacentral:lncRNA from 1 species